GACGAACGCUGGCGGCGUGCUUAACACAUGCAAGUCGAACGGAAAGGCCCUGCUUGCAGGGUGCUCGAGUGGCGAACGGGUGAGUAACACGUGGGUGAUCUGCCCCUUACUUUGGGAUAAGCCUGGGAAACUGGGUCUAAUACUGGAUAGGACCAUGCUGUAGGUGGUGUGUUGGAAAGAUUAGUUUCGGUAAGGGAUGAGCUCGCGGCCUAUCAGCUUGUUGGUGGGGUAAUGGCCUACCAAGGCGUCGACGGGUAGCCGGCCUGAGAGGGUGGACGGCCACAUUGGGACUGAGAUACGGCCCAGACUCCUACGGGAGGCAGCAGUGGGGAAUAUUGCACAAUGGGCGCAAGCCUGAUGCAGCGACGCCGCGUGGGGGAUGACGGCCUUCGGGUUGUAAACUCCUUUCAGCCAUGACGAAGCCCUUGUGGUGACGGUAGUGGUAGAAGAAGCACCGGCUAACUACGUG
rnacentral:rRNA from 1 species